GGCCACAGGACAAGCCCGAGGAGCAGGCGGGCGCUCCAGGGAAAAACCACGCACAAAACCUUCUUCAGAGAAAAGGGAAGCUCCAAACCUGACUGAGACAAACGGAGGCUCUUGAAAUAAAAAGAAAAUACCGCAGGACAAACAGCCUCCCGUCUCCGGGCGCAGGUCGUGGUCACAGUGGUGACCUGGGAUUGCUUUCCCAGGACUGCGAGUCGGGCUUGGGUUUCUCCUCCCUGCAUUCCACAGCUGCUCUGGUCAUCGCAACGUGUUUAUUGAUCACUGAAGAAUCUCAAGUUUUGAGACGAGGAAGAAACACCCAUUAGGUCUCCAAGACAGCUGUGUUUCACAAACUUUAAGGAGACAGAAAUUUUCUCCCCUGGAACCUGUGAAAAUGUCCCUUUUCCAAGGAAGUGAAGGUUAAGAGGUCUCGUUCUCACAGACCCUCAGGAAUUUCGCUUGGCUCCGAGCUUUGACCUCCGAGAGAGCCAUGGAAAAGCUGCUGCGGCUGUGCUGCUGGUGCUCCUGGCUGCUGCUAUUUUAUUACAACUUUCAGGUGCGUGGCGUCUACUCCAGAUCGCAGGACCAUCCAGGAUUUCAGGUGUUGGCAUCUGCUUCCCAUUACUGGCCACUGGAGAAUGUGGAUGGGAUCCAUGAACUUCAGGAUACAACUGGAGAAGCUGGCCUGAGGAUGCCUCUAUGUGCAAGUCA
rnacentral:sRNA from 1 species